rnacentral:misc_RNA from 1 species
GGAAGUAAAAGUCGUAACAAGGUUUCCGUAGGUGAACCUGCGGAAGGAUCAUUAUCGAGAACAGGGAAGGAAGGAUGGUGAAUGCAAGGACUGUCGCUGGCUUCCCUGAAGCAUGUGCACGUCUUGGCUUUUUCUGUCCACCUUUCUCUUUUUCUAUCUCACACCUGUGCACCUAUUGUAGGGGGGUCUCUCGAAAGAGGGCGAACCCUAUGUUUUUCCAUAUCACACCUGUCGUAUGUUCAUAGAAGGCGUCGUCGUCGGUCUUGAUUGAUUGAUGAUACAUAAAUAUACAACUUUCAGCAACGGAUCUCUUGGCUCUCGCAUCGAUGAAGAACGCAGCGAAUUGCGAUAAGUAAUGUGAAUUGCAGAUUUUCAGUGAAUCAUCGAAUCUUUGAACGCACCUUGCGCUCCUUGGUAUUCCGAGGAGCAUGCCUGUUUGAGUGUCAUUGAUAUUUCUCAACCAUGCAUCUUUUAGGAAGGCGCAUGGCUUGGAGUUGGGGGCUGCUGGUCUGAUCGAUCGGCUCUCCUGAAAUGCAUUAGCAAAGGGCAAGGCUAGUCUUUUGAUGUGCACGGCCUUUCGACGUGAUAGUUCAUCGUCGGGGCUGGAGCAUCAAGUUAUAUAGGACUAUGUCCAUGACCCCCUCUGCUUCCAACAUGAAUCUGGACCAGCUUAGCUAUUAGUUACUAGUGUUUUUCCAUCAUGGAACGCAAACACGAACGCGGCUGGAUGCCACUUCAUUUCUGAAACUUGACCUCAAAUCAGGUAGGACUACCCGCUGAACUUAAGCAUAUCAAUAAGCGGAGGAAAAGAAACUAACAAGGAUUCCCCUAGUAACUGCGAGUGAACCGGGAAGAGCUCAAAUUUUGAAUCUGGCAGUCUUUGGCUGUCCGAAUUGUAAUCUAGAGAAGCGUCUUCCGCGCUGGUCCGUGUACAAGUCUCCUGGAAGGGAGCGUCAUAGAGGGUGAGAAUCCCGUCUUUGACACGGCCGUCCAGUGCUAUGUGAUGCGCUCUCGACGAGUCGAGUUGUUUGGGAAUGCAGCUCAAAAUGGGUGGUAAAUUCCAUCUAAAGCUAAAUACAGGCGAGAGACCGAUAGCGAACAAGUACCGUGAGGGAAAGAUGAAAAGAACUUUGGAAAGAGAGUUAAACAGUACGUGAAAUUGCUGAAAGGGAAACGCUUGAUGUCAGUCGCGUCGGCCGGGGAUCAACCUUGCUUUUCGCUGGGUGUAUUUCCUGGUCGACGGGUCAGCAUCAGUUUCGCUCGCUGUACAAGGGCAGAGGGAACGUGGCACUCCUCGGAGUGUGUUAUAGCCUUUUGUCGUAUGCAGUGGUCGGGACUGAGGAACUCAGCACGGCGUCUCGUCUCGUGCUUUAGGAUGCUGGCAUAAUGGCCUUAAGCGACCCGUCUUGAAACACGGACCAAGGAGUCUAACAUGCCUGCGAGUGUUUGGGUGCGAAACUCGAGCGCGAAAUGAAAGUGAAAGUCGAGACCUCUGUCAUGGAGGGCAUCGAUGCCCGGACCUGAGUCUUUGACGACGGAUCUGCGGUAGAGCAUGCAUGUUGGGACCCGAAAGAUGGUGAACUAUGCCUGAAUA